UACGUAGGGUGCAAGCGUUGUCCGGAAUUAUUGGGCGUAAAGAGCUCGUAGGCGGUUUGUUGCGUCGGCUGUGAAAUCCCGAGGCUCAACCUCGGGUCUGCAGUCGAUACGAGCAAACUAGAGUGUUGCAGGGGGAGACUGGAAUUCCUGGUGUAGCGGUGAAAUGCGCAGAUAUCAGGAGGAACACCGGUGGCGAAAGCGGCUCUCUGGGACGGUACUGACGCUGAGACGCGAAAGCGUGGGGAGCAAACAGG
rnacentral:rRNA from 1 species